UGAAAAUCUUGUUUGGUGGAUCUGGGCUCU
rnacentral:piRNA from 1 species